AAGCAUAAAUACAGCUCCUUCUCUUCUCCUUCAGAUAUCUCCAGCUGCUCUCCUCCACCGCUCUUCUUCACUGGUCGCUCCGCCCUCCGCCAGCUCCAAUUGCAUAUUUAGGUUUUCUAAUCUCUGUUUUUCCAAAUUCGUUUUUGUUUUCUGCAAUUUAUUUUUUGGCAAAAUGUAUGCAGAGAUGAAGCAAAUUUUCGUGGACUAGAGUUUCUGAUCUUGUAUUUGACGAAACAACCCUUGGCUGUCUGAGCAUACAACUUGUUUAAUUUUCUGGAAAUUUCUCUUCAAUUUGCUACCUAUCUCUAAUUUGUGUGUGGUGAUGAUGCAAUUUUUCGUGGAUUAGAGUUUCUGAUCUUGCAUUUGACGAAACAACCCUUGGCUGUCUGAGCACACUCUUCAAUUCAGUCGUUUCAGCUCUUAAUUUCUCAUUUACUUUGGCUUAUGAUGAAAAAAUAAUUAUCUUAGCGGAUUUCAGUGAGGUUAUGAUUUUUAUCACCAUCAAUGAUCUGAUUGUUACACACACUGAAGCCUUUCCCAAAAUCAGUUCCUUUUUAUCCAGUUUUUGCUAUGAUGAGAUAAAGCACAAGCUCUGUGUUUGAGGCAGUGGAUUCCGAUCCGUGAGCUUUCUAAAUUAACGACUUCUCCUUCCACUGAGAAAAUUUUUUCUCCAAAAUCUCCAAUUUCACGCGUCCAUUACCAAUACCGGUUGAUUAAUCCAUUCCUCUCGGUUUAAUGGCACGGACGCAACAUUCAAUUUGUGGCUAUCCUGAUUGGCGUUGCGUUGAUUGGCAUUCCAAUUUACGUGUCACGGGAAGCAUAAAUCGAUUUCGUAGCUUUAAUGUCACUUUCGGUGAAAUAAGCAGGUUUUGAGUUCAUCUUAGCUUGCUUUUUUGGUGGCUUUGCUUCAACACUUUUUUUCCCCAAUUUGUUGCUUCAUAUGGUGAGCUUCUUCAAUUGAAGUGAGGAUUGCUCUAGUUUCCGAAGCAUAGAUCAAACCCAGUAGUAUUAAACAGUUUGAUGUCAAUUUUUUUUCAUGGCAUCAAACUACCUGUCUCCUCCUACAUCGAUAUCAAUAGCUUAAUUUUAUAUCUUUACCAAUGAGGAAGAAAUCCCAAGAAUAGGAAGUGCCGUAUGACACUUUAAAAUGCACCGUUUUGAGCCGUUAGCCGCUUCCAUCCACCGCCACCGAUUGUCGGCCUAUGUGGCAUUGCAAUCGGUGCUCGGUCCGGGGCGGUGGCUCUGCCGCUGUGUGGUUGAUUUGAAACGGGACUCUGAGGGUUUAAAGAUUGAAUUUUUAUCUCUGUUUUUGUAUUAAUUUUCUCCGCCGUCGGUUCGAUGCCACGUCGUCGGUAGCAGCAGCGAUGACCGUCGAUGUCAUGAUUGAACCAAUAACGAACGCUUUCGCAUCUUGAUAGGAAUCUGUGGAUCGAUCUUGACCGUUCGUCCAUGGAGCCGUUUUGUGCGAUUACAGUUUUAUCAUAUUUUACUUUUUUUUAGAAAUUGGUUGCUUGACCAAGACAAUAAACAGAAGUGAUGUACCCAGAUUUACCAGAUCUUUAUUAUAUAGUGGUCGUAGUAAUAUUCACAUACAUUUUUGUUAUGUUUCUUUCUUGAGGAUGCAUUGCUGUAAAAUAAUUUUAUGUGAGUGUUAUUUUUUUCCAAUUA